rnacentral:other from 1 species
AUAACCCUGCUCUGUACGACUUGUUGUGCCUUUUUAAUUCCGACUAAAGAACAUCAUCGGGAUUCUGCCUCGUAUCGUGGAUUGCAGGCCUGUUCACUCAGGAAGCGUGAUUCGGUACGGAAGAUUAACCCAUCGUCUAAAUAAGGCGGGUUCUAUCAAGGCGCAGACGGCAUGGCGGGGUUGUU